UCACAGCGAAACCAGUCCGUGUAACAGCUUCGACGGUUUUGUUUACAAAAUGGACGACUAUGUAACCUGUAACUUGGACUACUUUCCAGAGAACAUAUUGAUAGAUGUGUUAUCGUAUUUGAGUGUCCGUGAACUUGUCCGAGCCGGGAGAGUGUGUAAGAGGUGGAGGCGACUUGUAAAAGACCAAAGAUUAUGGAGAGUUGUGGAUCUGAGGGCAUGGAAAGGGGUGACAUCACGAAUACUUUGGGUUCUUCUGCGCCAAUACCUGGGCUGUGGCCUCAGGUGUCUACGCUUGCGUGGUUUGCUGCUUUCUGCCCGAGGAGGCACCUUCCUCUCAGAGUCUUGGCUUAAGGCAUUGUCCUCAAAGUGCCCUCGUCUUAAUAAGCUCUACCUCCUCCAUGCAGACUUGAGGAGUCUUCCAAAUUGCCGGUUCCUUCCUCCUUCUUUGAAGGUCCUGGAGCUGCGCGGCUGUGAGCUGCCACAGGGCUUCUUCAGCCAAAGUCUCACAACUGCACCUGCAAGUGCUGAAGCAACCUCCAGUGUUGCUGCACGGCAGAAAUCGAAAGGCAAAGGGAUAGGGAGUACGUCAGGAAUCUCAAUCGAGAGGUUAGUUCUUAACUAUGUCCCAUCAUUCACUGACGAGCAUCUUCAGAGUCUCACUACGUGGGAGCAGCUCACUCGGUUAGAGUUGCAUGACACAUUCCGUGUGACCGCUAACGCACUGAGAAACUGUGCCGCUAAGGAAGGUGCUGCCGGCAUAGAAGGCUUAUUUCGGCUCAAGUUUUUAGAAAUUUGCAUCACGGGGCGGCCAGGCUACCAGGUACAGAUGGCUUCUCUGGGGCUUGGUGCAGGUUGGCUUGGGCUAGAGGAGCUCAGCCUGGGUGGAAAGGAGGUAGGGCCUGGCUUACUCUGUGCCAGCCGAUUGAAAGACCUGAAGCAUCUAUGUCUGCGGGCUUGCACCCUCAGCGAGAUGCAGAUUGUACGUGGUUGCAGAAUGCUGCGGGGGCUCCGGAGAUUAGAGUUCCUUGAUGUGACCUUUCAGCCCAGACAAUGUCCACCAGCCGAGGAGGGAGAAGGUGGUGGUGCUGAAGGGGAAGCUCAGGCAGUUGAAGAAGAUGGUGACAAAGAAGUAAACAGCGAUGAAAACAAACCAGACACCAAUGAUCCCAUCCCACGUCUACGUCGCUCAUUGGCUGUCUUGUUACCCUACUGCUCUUUAGUAUUCACCAACUGCUCAGUUCAGAUAAACACAGACUAAACCGACCACUUUUUGCAAAACAGUGGCUGACCUCAACAAUACAUCUUUUAAGGAAAAGCCAUUCCAUGGACUGCUGUGGUUUUGCCAAAAUGCAACUGUUUCAAAAUCACUUUUCUGAAGGGUACAAUGCCUAAUUCAGGUUCCCUACAUUUUGACGCUGAGAAUGCACAAAGACCCAUCGUUAAAAAAGAGAAAAUAUUAUCAUCCCAAUCCCUGGUUUCAAACAGGUGUACUGUAUGGCAUCACCUAGUUUCACGUGCUGGCAUUCUUCUUUUUCCCUCCUAUGUAGCGGAGGUCGGGAUAAUUUUUUACUGCACCAUUGUGACAGCCAAAACCUUAUGGGCUUAAUUUUCUUUAAAAUGUUUUAUACACUCAUCGACUCUUAAAUGAACAAACAAGAUAUACGUUUUAAGUUACUGAAAAUGACAUUGACAUUUGGCGGUAACUCAAGAUUAAAUGUUUUUGUGACAUUUAAAUAAAAAACAUUAGUUAGUAAACACAAAAGGCAUAUUUGCUUUAUCCCUUCUUUACAGACAUCGGGAGUCAUAACCUUCCUGUUUUUCCACAUUACUCCUGGUGUGUUUUUAAUUAAAACAUAGAAACCUACAAAUCUCAAAAUGAAAAUGAGGUUGAAAAAAAACAAACAAAGAUGUGUAACUGCUAAUACGGUAGAUUAAAUGGCUGGUAGUAUAUAUAAGCCAUUGCUGUUCCUGAGACAUACAGUAAUGCUUUCACCACAAACAGUCAGCAACAAGCCACCUGCUUCCUUUUACUUUUUUAAUAAGUACCAGGCGUGACAUGCAGCCUGUUUACGUACACGUUUUCUCACUCUUAAUUUGCUUUCUUUUACACUUGAAAUUAAAUGAUUUAAAUGGAAUUAUCUUUUCAAUGUUUUCAUUAUUUCCCAUUAAGAAAACAAUAAAUUGCCUUUGAGACAUUGUGGUGUGCCUUUAUUGUGGUGUAUUCUCAAAUCGAUGCCAGUACUUUAAUUCACACAAAAAUAAUAAAGAUUGGCUACAUUUGUUUGACAUGUUCUAAAGUUCCGGUGCGCAGAUAGUCAUUCUUGUUUCUUUCGUCAUCAACUUUGCAUCAUAAAGUGGUCUACUUUCAGCCUUCCUCCCGCCAGUACGGUCAGAGUUUUCGGAUACCAUGUGGUACAGAAGCAUCACUUCUGUGAGGUUAAUGUCUCCAAAGCUAUGGACAUAUGGUUCAUUACUAAAGGCACCGAAGGAGAGUUCCUGAGUUGGAGAGGUAUAGAAGAUGCUGGAACCUCAAAGAUAGAUGGCCUUUAUUAGAGGGAAAUUCAACAUGUCACAGUGUGGUGUCAACGAAAUGAUGAUGAACGUACCCAAAACAUGGGUACGGAGAUGCUGACCCAGAUGGCACCGUCGUGGGUGGUGGAAGAUAUGGACACCAUGGAUUACCUGGCGAGAAGCAAGACAAGGAAGCAGUGAGGCUUGUGCAGCUAUAUGGCCAAAGAUGGGGCGGGCAGAGAAGAACCUCUACAACAUGGGCCUUUCAGCAGAAGCUGAAGCUGACAAAGCCUGUUGUGAGGAGCAUGAGGAUCUGGACAAGUGAAGCUAAAGAGGAGCUGCAGGCUUGUAUGGAGACCACAGACUGGGAGGUGUUUGGGGCUGCGACCAAUAAUCUGGAUGAGUAUACAGACGCUGUGACUUCAUGGUUCAGCUACUGUGAAGAGUGCAUAGUUUCAACGCGCACCAAGGUGAGUUAUGCAAAUGACAAACCUUGGUUCACAGCUAAACUCAGCCAGAUUAGAUGGGAGAAGGAGGCAGCUCGCAGCUGGACUGCCCAGCAACCUAUGCCAGGAUCUUGUUUGCAGACUUCUGCUCUGCUUUUAACACAAUUCUUGCAGCUCUGCUUGAAGACAAGCUUCGCCAGCGCAUCGUGCGUUCUGCUGAGAAGGUGAUCGGUUGCAGCCUGCCACCUCUGCAUGACCUCUAUGUCUCUAGGACCCAGAGACGUGCAGGUGGGAUCAGAGCCGACCCUUCUCACCCAGGUCAUGGACUGUUUGUUCCUCUUCCCUCCAGUAGGAGGCUACGGUCCAUCCAGACCAGAACCUCCUGCCUCAGCAACAGCUUCUUCCCCUCUGCUGUCAGACUGUUGAACUCUUGAUCAGCCUUUGUUGUUUGCGGGUUAUUUUAUUUUAUAUAUUUCUAUUAUAUUUUAUUGACAGCACUUUAUUCCAAAACACUUUCCUAGUUGGUGGGAUCCCCACUGACCAUGGCAAUAUAUUUGAUUCUGAUUCUGCAAAAUAGUAUUCAUCCAAUCCUAACCCUUAAAUUUGGCAUGUGGACACAUCAUUAUUAUAAAAUACAUAAACCCUUGUAAAUGAACUUCAGCCAUUUACAUGUAAUAGAACAGAAAGUAGUCUAUUUCACCCACUGACAAUUGGAAGUUUAAAAGUACCCAAUGGUGGUAAAAGCGAAGGAACUUCGCUUAAGGAGUGUGAAUGAUAGUCAUUUCUUUAUUAUUAUUAUUACAUUAGUAUUAUUAUUAAUAAUAAUAGUAAUAAUAAUAAUAAUAAUAAUAUUAACGUAUUUUUGAUAUGUAAUCAUUGAAACAACAAUACUUAUAUUUUAUGACCGUAUUGCUGUUGUCGAUUUAUGCCCUAGUCUGAAUUAUUUUAUCCAAAACAAAACUAAAUUCAUCAGUAAAAAUUCCUAUCCAUUAACUGGUUAUCAACUCGCUUAUCAUUCUGAUUUGGAUAAAUUCACGAAAACACAACGUUUAUUUCCUGUCCGGAAAUGGUGAGGGGGUGGGUCUUUGCGUAUGAGCCAAUCAUGUGUUUCCUAGUGCCUGCUCUUUGUCCAAUAGGAGCUACAGAUGCGUUGCAAGCAGACCAAUGAGAUCGGCCACAUUACAGACUUUUGAAAACGUUGGCGGCCAAAGCAAUUCGAAUCGUACAGCAGACCGAGAGCUUUGUCAGGUUUAAGUGGGAGGAUUACACGGACUGUUCUGUUCGGCAACAUGCAG